rnacentral:rRNA from 1 species
CCGCGAAAACUUUACAAUGCUGGCAACAGCGAUAAGGGAACCUCGAGUGCCAGGUUACAAAUCUGGCUGUCGAGAUACCUAAAAAGCAUUUCAUAGCAAGGGCCGGGCAAGACCGGUGCCAGCCGCCGCGGUAACACCGGCGGCUCGAGUGGUAACCGUUAUUAUCGGGUCUAAAGGGUCUGUAGCCGGCCGGAUAAGUCUCUUGAGAAAUCUGGCAGCUUAACUGUCAGGCUUUCAGGAGAUACUGUCUGGCUCGAGGCCGGGAGAGGUGAGAGGUACUUCAGGGGUAGGGGUGAAAUCUUGUAAUCCUUGAAGGACCACCAGUGGCGAAGGCGUCUCACCAGAACGGACCUGACGGCAAGGGACGAAAGCUAGGGGCACGAACCG